rnacentral:rRNA from 1 species
UACAGAGGGUGCAAGCGUUGUUCGGAAUUAUUGGGCGUAAAGCGCGUGUAGGCGGCUUGGCAAGUCGGGUGUGAAAGCCCUCAGCUCAACUGAGGAAGUGCGCCCGAAACUGCUUGGCUUGAGUACCGGAGAGGAUGGUGGAAUCCCGAAGUAGAGGUGAAAUUCGUAGAUAUCGGGAGGAACACCGGUGGCGAAGGCGACCAUCUGGACGGAUACUGACGCUGAGACGCGAAAGCGUGGGGAGCAAACAGG